rnacentral:tRNA from 1 species
UGACCCGUAGCUCGAUUGGCAGAGCAGCGGCCUUUUAAGCCGUGGGGUGCGAGUUCGAGUCUCGCCGGGUCAA